UACGUAGGGUGCAAGCGUUGUCCGGAAUUAUUGGGCGUAAAGAGCUCGUAGGCGGUUUGUCGCGUCGACUGUGAAAACCCGGGGCUCAACCCCGGGCCUGCAUUCGAUACGGGCAGACUAGAGUUCGGUAGGGGAGUCUGGAAUUCCUGGUGUAGCGGUGAAAUGCGUAGAGAUCGGAAAGAACACCGACGGCGAAGGCACUCUGCUGGGCCGACACUGACACUGAGAGACGAAAGCUAGGGGAGCGAAUGGG
rnacentral:rRNA from 1 species